GUGGCUCUAUGCUUAAUUUUUAAAAAAAUAAUAAGUAUUAUCUGUGGCUAUGUCUAAUAUUUUAACAAUUUGGAAUAGAAAUAAAUGUUUAUUAACAUCUCUAGUAUUUUGUUUAGUUGAAUAGACUAUGAGUUUGCCAGUCUCCAAUUUAUUGGACAUAGGUUUAAACAAGAUUUAUUAAUGGCUGUAUUUAUGGUAUGUUCUAUAAACUUUUUAUUUAAAUCUUGAUUUAUCUUAAAGUUUAUUAAAUAAUUAAUCAAAUUAUUCAAAUAUAAUAUCUAAUAAGAUAAUUUAAUACUUUAUAUAAAGAUCUGUAAACUAUGUUUAGGAAUUUAUAUCUGUACUUUCUCACUUUAGGUUAUUGAUGAUUUUAGCAGAAAAAAAGACAAUUGAAUCUUUAAAGAAUGUAAUUUAACUGAUGUAAAUUUGUAGUAUGCAAAUUAAUUCACAUUUGAUAUAAUAUUAGAUAAUUUAAAAACUGGAGAGUCUGCUAGGAACAUGUUAAGUGAUCACAAUACCAUACUACACAUCUUAAAUAUACAAGACACUUCAAAAUUGUGUUUAUGUUGUGUUUACUAUAAUUAUUUAAUUUUUAUGUUAAAUUUAUUAAUAAUAAUAAUAAUAUAUUAUAUAUAAAUAUUUUAUCUUACAGAUAAUAAACCGUUUGCCUAAUAAUUUAGGUCAAGACCCUAUGUUAACUUGAAGAAUCUGUUCAAUGUUCUUUGAUAAUCAUGAUGUUCUUAAUUCUGUACAUGAACUAUUUUGAUACAGUUGACAUAUUUUUUGUACCAAAUAUUCAGGUAUACCUACCUGUUAUACCAUAUAUUUAAUUUAAAGUUUAAUAUUCUUUAAAUUGUAUUCUGGAUAAUGUCUGUAUUUUGAAUGCUGACAACAUAGGAGUAUGUACUACGAACUACAACUGCAAUUUAGAAACUGAUUAAAAACAUCAUGCUUUUAUAGACUUGAUCAUGUGUGCUGCAAUCACUAGUGGGGUGGGUAGGUAUCACGUAUUGUGUUGUAAAUAAAAACUGAAAAAUAAUACUCUUGUGUCAUAAUUCAACCCAAUUUCGGCACGGGGAGGAGAUGAGUUAUCAAGUACAUAUAUUCACAAAAUUAUUUUUAAAUAUUAAUUUAAAAAUGGGGAGGGAGUGAAUUUC